AUGAAGGAUCUAGGAGUAGCUGAAGUUAUCUUAAACAUCAAGCUGUUGAGAGAUGAGAAUGGUGGGAUCACACUGCUUCAGUCUCAUUAUGUGGAAAAGGUCUUGAGUCGUUUUGGGUAUAGCGACUGCACGCCUUCUCCAACUCCAUAUGAUGCUAGUGUGUUGCUUCGAAAGAAUCGACGGAUUGCUAGAGAUCAACUGAGGUAUUCUCAGAUUAUUGGCUCGCUUAUGUAUUUGGCGAGUGCCACGAGGCCUGACAUCUCUUUUGCUGUGAACAAGCUGAGUCGGUUUGUGUCAAAACCGGGAGAUGAUCAUUGGCAUGCGCUUGAGAGAGUUAUGCGCUAUUUGAAAGGCACCGCGAGCUAUGGGAUUCACUACACCGGGUAUCCAAGGGUACUGGAGGGUUAUAGUGACUCAAACUGGAUAUCUGAUGCUGAUGAGAUUAAGGCCACAAGUGGUUAUGUUUUUACACUUGGUGGUGGCGCUGUUUCCUGGAAGUCUUGCAAGCAGACCAUCUUAACGAGGUCAACUAUGGAAGCAGAACUCACAGCAUUAGACACUGCCACUGUUGAAGCAGAGUGGCUUCGUGAACUCUUGAUGGACUUACCUAUGGUUGAAAAACCAAUACCCCCUAUCCUGAUGAACUGUGAUAACCAAACUGUGAACGUCAAGAUAAACAGUUCUAAGGACAAUAUGAAGUCCUCAAGGCAUGUGAAGAGGAGACUAAAAUCUGUCAGAAAAUUGAGGAACUCCGGAGUUUUUACGUUGGAUUAUAUCCAAACAUCAAAAAACUUGGCAGAUCCCUUCACAAAGGGUCUAUCACGUAAUGUGAUAGAUAAUGCAUCGAUGGAGAUGGGUUUGAGACCCACCUCAUGA
rnacentral:rRNA from 1 species